CAGCCGCCACGGGAAUACGAAGGGGGCUAGCGUUGCUCGGAAUGACUGGGCGUAAAGGGCGCGUAGGCGGCGGCCAAAGUCAGGCGUGAAAUUCCUGGGCUCAACCUGGGGGCUGCGUUUGAUACUUGGUUGCUUGAGUGGGGAAGAGGGUCGUGGAAUUCCCAGUGUAGAGGUGAAAUUCGUAGAUAUUGGGAAGAACACCGGUGGCGAAGGCGGCGACCUGGUCCUUUACUGACGCUGAGGCGCGAAAGCGUGGGGAGCAAACAGGAUUAGAUACCCCCGUAGUCCCUGUCUCUUAUAC
rnacentral:rRNA from 1 species